GCUCGUCGGGUUUUUCACCGGCUCAGACUUUGAACGGUGAUCCUAACCAGGCCAUCCCUGGUUUGAUACAGCCGCUGCCGUCUGUUGUUACUUCAGUAGCGCAGGUGACGGGUUCUGCUCCGGCUGUUUCUUUCGCUGCGAAAGUAGCUGAGAAAGUCCAACCCAAAUCCCUUAAGAAGCCGGAUGUUGCAGCGUAUGGCCUCCGAGGCCUUCCAAUACAGAGAGAAGGAGAGGUUGUCACCCUCUCAGUGCCCAAAUCGGAAUAUCAAACAAAGUUGGAAGAGUUUCAAUUUGCACUAAUCGGUAGACUUAUCCAACGUAAAGGGGACAAGCCACGCACGUUCGCCGACCUCUCUCAUGAACUUCGAACCAUAUGGCAGUGCGCCGACUGUCAACUGGUGCCCAUGGCUAAGGGAUUCUUCG
rnacentral:lncRNA from 1 species